rnacentral:rRNA from 1 species
GUCCACGCCGUAAACGUUGGGAACUAGGUGUUGGCGACAUUCCACGUCGUCGGUGCCGCAGCUAACGCAUUAAGUUCCCCGCCUGGGGAGUACGGCCGCAAGGCUAAAACUCAAAGGAAUUGACGGGGGCCCGGCCACAAGCAGCGGAGCAUGUGGCUUAAUUCGACGCAACGCGAAGAACCUUACCAAGGCUUGACAUACACCGGAAACCCCUAACGAGAUGGGGCCCCGUCUGGUCGGUGUACAGGUGGUGCAUGGCUGUCGU